rnacentral:rRNA from 1 species
AUACGGAGGAUGCGAGCGUUAUCCGGAUUUAUUGGGUUUAAAGGGAGCGUAGGUGGGAUAUUAAGUCAGCUGUGAAAGUUUGGGGCUCAACCUUCAAAUUGCAGUUGAUACUGGUUUCCUUGAGUACGGUACAGGUGGGCGGAAUUCGUGGUGUAGCGGUGAAAUGCUUAGAUAUCACGAAGAAAUCCGAUCGCGAAGGCAGCUCACCGGGCCGGAACUGACACUGAUGCUCGAAAGUGCGGGUAUCAAACAGGAUUAGAUACCCUGGUAGUCCGCACAGUAAACGAUGAAUACUCGCUGUUUGCGAUACACGGUAAGCGGCCAAGCGAAAGCGUUAAGUAUUCCACCUGGGGAGUACGCCGGCAACGGUGAAACUCAAAGGAAUUGACGGGG